rnacentral:rRNA from 1 species
AGUGAACGCUGGCGGUAGGCCUAACACAUGCAAGUCGAACGGCAGCACAGUAAGAGCUUGCUCUUACGGGUGGCGAGUGGCGGACGGGUGAGGAAUACAUCGGAAUCUACUUUUUCGUGGGGGAUAACGUAGGUAAACUUACGCUAAUACCGCAUACGACCUACGGUUGAAAGCAUGGGAUCUUCGGACCUUGCGCGAUUGAAUGAGCCGCUGUCGGAUUAGCUAGUUGGCGGGGUAAAGGCCCACCAAGGCGACGAUCCGUAGCUGGUCUGAGAGGAUGAUCAGCGACACGGGAAGUGAGACACGGUCCAGACUCCUACGGGAGGCAGCAGUGGGGAAUAGUGGACAAUGGGGGCAAGCAUGAUACAGCCAUACCGAGUGGGUGAAGAAGGCCUUCGGGUUGUAAAGACCUUUUGUUGGGAAAGAAAAGCAGCAGGUUAAGACCCCGCUGUUGUGACGGUACCCAAAGAAGAAGCACCGGCUAACUUCGUG